CGAUUUCUCAACAAUAUACAGCAAAAUAAGAGGGUUGUCUGGGCUCUGUUAAGGCAGGGAUGAGAAAGAAUAUUUGUAGUGUGGGUCUGCRUGGCUGUUCAGCACUGUCAGCGUGUUCCUACAGUCUCCCUCCUUGUUGCUUGACUCCYGUCGCCUCUCCCACUUCUCUCACCUGUUUUUCCAAGCAAUUCCUCCCAAUCCCACAGCAGUGACCGCAGCGGGCUGGGAAGAGCAGCCAGUCGCAUGCGCCACUUGUUUGAAGCCAAGAUCACAGCAGUCAAAUGCGAACUGGCUCCCAGUCUGGAGGCAAGAUUUCUGUUUUGGAAACUCCACGGAAACACAGGACUGGAAAGGAGCUCCUGGUCAUUGAAUCCUAUCUCCUUAGCAGCUGGAUAGUGUUUUUCAAGGCUCCAGACAAAUGAGCAGAGCUGGGUACAGAAGAGGGGCGGAUUCCAAUUGAUCACCUCAGUCCUGCUGGGGAAAAAGAGACGUGGCAAUAGGAACUGGCCACCCAAGACGGGACAGAUAGAGCAGAGGAGCCACUGAGGCCCUUCCCGACAGCCUUGGCCACCGAUCCGGAGGGAGAGCCUGYGG